CAGUCGCCGCGGUAAUGCGAAGGGGGCUAGCGUUGUUCGGAUUUACUGGGCGUAAAGCGCACGUAGGCGGAUCGAUCAGUCAGGGGUGAAAUCCUGGAGCUCAACUCCAGAACUGCCUUUGAUACUGUCGAUCUCGAGUCCGGAAGAGGUGAGUGGAAUUUCCGGUGUAGCGGUGAAAUGCGUAGAUAUCGGAAGGAACACCUGUGGCGAAAGCGGCUCACUGAACCAUAACUGACGCUGAGGCGCGAAAGCUAGGGGAGCAAACAGGAUUAGAUACCCCGGUAGUCCCUGUCUCUUAUAC
rnacentral:rRNA from 1 species